rnacentral:rRNA from 1 species
GUCCUGGCCGUAAACGAUGGGUACUAGGUGUAGGAGGUAUCGACCCCUUCUGUGCCGGAGUUAACGCAAUAAGUACCCCGCCUGGGGACUACGAUCGCAAGAUUGAAACUCAAAGGAAUUGACGGGGGCCCGCACAAGCGGUGGAGUAUGUGGUUUAAUUCGACGCAACGCGAAGAACCUUACCAAGGCUUGACAUUGAGUGAAAGACCCAGAGAUGGGUCCCCUUCUUCGGAAGCACGAAACAGGUGGUGCAUGGCUGUCGU